rnacentral:miRNA from 15 species
CAGGUUUCGUUAGCAACGGGCU